rnacentral:rRNA from 1 species
GUGCCAGCAGCCGCGGUAAUACCGGCAGCCCGAGUGAUGGCCGAUCUUAUUGGGCCUAAAGCGUCCGUAGCUAGCUGCGCAAGUCCGUCGGGAAAUCCACGUGCUUAACACGUGGGCGACCGGCGGAAACUGUGUGGCUUGGAACCGGAAGGCUCAGAGGGUACGUCCGGGGUAGGAGUGAAAUCCCGUAAUCCCGGACGGACCACCGAUGGCGAAAGCACUCUGAGAAGACGGCUUCGACAGUGAGGGACGAAAGCUAGGGUCUCAAACCGGAUUAGAUACCCCGGUAGUCC